rnacentral:rRNA from 1 species
AUUGAACGCUGGCGGCAGGCCUAACACAUGCAAGUCGAACGGAUCCUUCGGGAUUAGUGGCGGACGGGUGAGUAACACGUGGGAACGUGCCCUUUGGUUCGGAACAACUCAGGGAAACUUGAGCUAAUACCGGAUGUGCCCUUCGGGGGAAAGAUUUAUCGCCAUUGGAGCGGCCCGCGUCUGAUUAGCUAGUUGGUGAGGUAAUGGCUCACCAAGGCGACGAUCAGUAGCUGGUCUGAGAGGAUGACCAGCCACAUUGGGACUGAGACACGGCCCAAACUCCUACGGGAGGCAGCAGUGGGGAAUCUUGCGCAAUGGGCGAAAGCCUGACGCAGCCAUGCCGCGUGGAUGAUGAAGGUCUUAGGAUUGUAAAAUCCUUUCACCGGUGAAGAUAAUGACUGUAGUCGGAGAAGAAGCCCCGGCUAACUUCGUGCCAGCCGCCGCAGUAA